rnacentral:rRNA from 1 species
CCUACGGGAGGCAGCAGUGGGGAAUAUUGGGCAAUGGGCGCAAGCCUGACCCAGCAACGCCGCGUGAAGGAAGAAGGCUUACGGGUUGUAAACUUCUUUUCUCAGGGACGAAACAAGUGACACUACCUGACGAAUAAGCCACGGAUAACUACGUGCAAGCAGUCGCUGUAAUACGUCGGUGGCGAUCGUUCUCCGGAUUUACUGGGUGUAAAGGGCGUGUAGGCGGGACUGCAAGUCAGAUGUGAAAACGACGGGCUCAACCUGUGGCCUGCAUUUGAAACUGUCGUUCUUGAGUACUGGAGAGGCAGACGGAAUGCGUGGUGUAGCGGUGAAAUGCGUAGAUAUUAGGAGGAACACCAGUGGCGAAGGCGGUCUGCCGGAUACCCACUGACGCUGAGGCGCGAAAGCGUGGGUAGCAAACAGGAUUAGAUACCCCUGUAGUC